rnacentral:rRNA from 1 species
GACAGAGGAUGCAAGCGUUAUCCGGAAUGAUUGGGCGUAAAGCGUCUGUAGGUGGGCUUUUUUACAAGUCCGCCGUCAAAAUCCCAGGGCUCAACCCCUGGACAGGCGGUGGAAACUACCAAGCUGGAGUACGGUAGGGGCAGAGGGAAUUUCCGGUGGAGCGGUGAAAUGCAUUGAGAUCGGAAAGAACAACCAACGGCGAAAGCAGCUCUAGCUGGGCCGACGACUG